rnacentral:rRNA from 1 species
UACGUAGGGUGCAAGCGUUAAUCGGAAUUACUGGGCGUAAAGCGUGCGCAGGCGGUUUUGUAAGCCAGAUGUGAAAUCCCCGGGCUCAACCUGGGAAUGGCAUUUGGGACUGCAAGGCUCGAGUUUGGCAGAGGAGACUGGAAUUCCUGGUGUAGCAGUGAAAUGCGUAGAUAUCAGGAGGAAUACCGAUGGCGAAGGCAGGUCUCUGGGCUGAAACUGACGCUCAUGCACGAAAGCGUGGGGAGCAAACAGG